GAACACCAGUUUAGAUUUAAUAAAGUUGAGAUCAGUUGUUUCCUUAGUAAGGUGCCACCAGGGCAUCGGUUUUGUGAUCGUUAUUUACAGUAUUUCGAGUGAAAUGAAAACGUGAAUGCGGCAUAGAACGUUAGAGCUAACUACAAGAGGUCUAUUAAAGCUGUCAACGAUACUGACUUAUCAAACAUACUACUUAAACUGCUUAAGAGAGAGUAGGCACACAAAUGCAAACAGAAGAUAUUAUCAUUGACCUACCACCAUUAUACUAUUGAAGCAGUUAGUUGGUUAAGUUGAGCGCUUGAGGUUGUUCCUCAGUAGGUGUCGCUCGGAUUGCGAUGCUUCGAUCGUCACGGCGUGCGAGUCUCUAGACGCAGUAGGUUGAACGCUAUCCCUAGUCUCGUAGGGUCUAAUCCCAAUUGUCCUUUUGGAAUAUCUAGCCUCGAUUACAAGGACGACUCGGCCAGUGUUAAAUCU